AGUGAACGCUGGCGGUAGGCCUAACACAUGCAAGUCGAACGGCAGCACAGGAGAGCUUGCUCUCUGGGUGGCGAGUGGCGGACGGGUGAGGAAUACAUCGGAAUCUGCCCAGUCGUGGGGGAUAACGUAGGGAAACUUACGCUAAUACCGCAUACGACCUUCGGGUGAAAGAGGGGGAUCGCAAGACCUCUCGCGAUUGGAUGAGCCGAUGUCGGAUUAGCUAGUUGGCGGGGUAAUGGCCCACCAAGGCGACGAUCCGUAGCUGGUCUGAGAGGAUGAUCAGCCACAAUGGAAAUGAGACACGGUCCAGACUCCUACGGGAGGCAGCAGUGGGGAAUAUUGGACAAUGGGCGCAAGCCUGAUCCAGCCAUACCGCGUGGGUGAAGAAGGCCUUCGGGUUGUAAAGCCCUUUUGUUGGGAAAGAAAUCUUUCAGGCUAAUACCCUGGGAGGAUGACGGUACCCAAAGAAUAAGCACCGGCUAACUUCGUG
rnacentral:rRNA from 1 species